UAGCGCAUAGUUUAAUUGAGAAUGAUUGUUUUGGGGACAUUUGGUUUGCUUCCACAAUGUGCUAA
rnacentral:tRNA from 1 species